UAAGCGGAGGGUGCAAGCGUUAAUCGGAAUUACUGGGCGUAAAGCGCACGCAGGCGGUCUGUUGAAGUCAAGAUGUGAAAUCCCCGGGCUUAACCUGGGACUGCAUUUGAAACUGGCAGGCUUGAGUUCUUGUAGAGGGGGGUAGGAAUUCCAGGUGUAGCGGUGAAAUGCGUAGAGAUCUGGAGGAAUACCGGUGGCGAAGGCGGCCCCCUGGGACAAAGACUGACCGCUCAGGUGCGAAAGCGUGGGGAGCAAACAGG
rnacentral:rRNA from 1 species